CCAUUGCUCUGAUCUUCCUGAAGGAAGGCAGUGGGCUCCGUUGUAAGGACCGGGCUCAUAGACGCCUGUAGACAGCCCGGAUGGGGUCCAAGGCGCCAAGGGUCUCCGUGCUCCCACGGAGGCAGGAGCGACUCUGGGCUUCAGGAUCGGGGCUGCUGUUGGUGUUCUCUUCCUCACGGGGCUUGCGUAGACAGCCGGCUGUCCCCCGCUUUUUCUCAGGGAAGCCUUUCAGGGACUGCUCUCACCUCCUCCAGCCCUAGACCUGCAGGCAGGAGAAUCGAGGAGGAGCAAGGGGAUUCCCAGGUUGGCCAGUCGGCUUCGAGUGUGAACAUGGUCCACACGCUUACCUGAUGAUCUGUUGCCAGCUUCAAGAAGUUAACUUCCUGAGAGAGACGUGCUGCUGGGCCGGAGGGUCCGGGUCUCCCCGAAGCCCCGUCCACGGCACGCAGCCUCCCCUGGCGGCUGGGCCGGGCCUGCGGAGCUCCCUGGCCGGACGGCAGGCUGUGGGCUGUGGCGAGCCGGGUGGGCUCCGUGGGCUCUGGCCCUCCUUCGAGUCCCUUUCUUUACUUUCCAGACUGAAAUGAGGUCCACCCAGUGCCUGGGACGCGGUUUGCUGCCCUUAGGCGGGCUCCUGGCUAGACAACUCCCAGACAGGGCGUCUGCCCUCUCCUUUCUCCUGGGCCAAGGCCCUGUGCUGGCGGCCCAGUGAGCCUGGAAUGUGUGUGUGUGUGCGUGCGUGUGCAUGUGUGAUGUAUGUGUGUGUGAAGAGGCUGCAGGUGCUAUGACAGCCCCCCCUCCCCAGAAUGACAGACCCGGGACCCAGAGAUCUACAAGGGAAUCCACACUGCCAGCAAGAGCUGACAAAAGGGGGUGCCCGUGUCUGCGUUCUCCCUGAUUUUCUGCCCCUCCCACUUGCCGUUUCCGAGGUGGCCACAGCUUCUGGAGUCUCAAACUGUUCAAGGCAACAAGGUCACCGUGGGAAAGUGACAAUGAGUCAGAGGAAAAGAGCACCCCUCUCAUCUCGUCCAUGACACUCAGAGCCACUGUAGAAAUCAGCCCAAAGCCAGGCCCUCGGCCCUGGACACCGCAGAGCUCACAUCUUCUCCUGGAGGCCACCUGGCAGCUCGUGCCCGCUGAGCAGGUGGGCAGAAAAAAGCAGGUGGAGACGCUCUAACGCCAGGAGCAAGAGGAAGAAAGGAUCAAAGGCAGUGUAGAAGGCACACACGCGUGCACCUGCACACGCACACGCACGCAAGUCUGGGUCGUAGGAAGAGAGAGGAGAAAGAGCCUGGUUAUUAUACGGAUGCCGUAAACACCUGCCCUCGCCUGAGUCCGCCUGCUGCCGCUUGCGGCCCUCAGCCCCUGGCCGGCCGGCCCAGCUGUCCCGGGGACUGGGCAGCCAAGGUGCCACCACCAGCACCGGUCGGGACGGGGUAGCAGUGGAGGGGACCGUGCUGUCGGACCACGCGGCUCACGGUGUGUGCGCACGGCGGGUGAUUCUCAGGAUCCGAGCGGCUGGGAUGCUGAGGCUUGCGCCCGGGGCCACAGGCUACGGCAGCGGGAACUAGGAACUAAUGGGUGGUGCCCUUCAUCGCUUUCUGAGCGCCUACUACGUGCUGGGCUCCAUGUCAACUCCUGCGCUGGAUCUUUCACUGAAUCCACUCCACGAUUCCACCCUAUAGAGGACUGGAGAUUUGCGGAAUUAAAGCCCUUGCGCUGGUCCGGGGUCGGAUCCUGGGUCAGUGCAGGUGGGGCCACCCGCGAGGGCUGUGCGUUGUGGCCAAGCCUCUUCACCUCCGCAAACCGUAUUUUCUCCGGCAAAGAGCAAGGAUCUGCCACGGGAUCGAGGCUCCCCAUCUUCCCAAGUCUGUGAACUGCAUUUUAAUGUCAAACACUUUGAGGAUCUUUUCACGUGCUGGUGGGCUUUUAUUUUUAGGACUCGUUGGUCGAGAAAAUUCACAAUGACAAAAAGCUACUUUGAAUUCGGUAGUGGUUUAAAAACCAAUUUGUAUCGAUUAUUCACAACUGCGUGUAUAUGCAUCUGAAAAACAACCCGCUGUGGGGGUUACCGCGUCUACACGGGCAGGCCGGUUGGGG